CCUACGGGUGGCAGCAGUGGGGAAUAUUGCACAAUGGGCGCAAGCCUGAUGCGGCCAUGCCGCGUGUGUGAAGAAGGCCUUCGGGUUGUAAAGCACUUUCAGCGGGGAGGAAGGCGUUAAGGUUAAUAACCUUAUCGAUUGACGUUACCCGCAGAAGAAGCACCGGCUAACUCCGUGCCAGCAGCCGCGGUAAUACGGAGGGUGCAAGCGUUAAUCGGAAUUACUGGGCGUAAAGCGCACGCAGGCGGUCUGUCAAGUCGGAUGUGAAAUCCCCGGGCUCAACCUGGGAACUGCAUUCGAAACUGGCAGGCUAGAGUCUUGUAGAGGGGGGUAGAAUUCCAGGUGUAGCGGUGAAAUGCGUAGAGAUCUGGAGGAAUACCGGUGGCGAAGGCGGCCCCCUGGACAAAGACUGACGCUCAGGUGCGAAAGCGUGGGGAGCAAACAGGAUUAGAUACCCGUGUAGUC
rnacentral:rRNA from 1 species